AGUCCGACCAUAACACAUGCCCUUCUAUAGUAUUAUAGUGUUUCCAUUUAAUAAAGACCCUCUGACGUGGUCAAGACCACUGGUUAGGCAUCACUGUGGCGAAUUCUCCAUAGCUGCAGUUCAGGCGAAUAUGGAUAUGGAAGAUCAGAGCCAAGUUGAAGUUGGAACUGAUGCACUCUUUGUUGGAGUUUAUGAUUGGCCAUAAAGGCGACACCGCUUCCAUCUAUCUUAGUAAUCAUAUCUUCACUGAACUAUUAAGGCUGAUUGAACAGAAUAAUAACUUUAUGAAUGAGAUUAUUCUGAGGCAAGUUGUUGACCAAAUAGAGACAGAUUAUUUCUAGCAACAUCAUCAGGUACAGAAUAGUUUUGUUAGUUCAGGUUGUUUGAUUUGUAUCAUAUGGAAAGGGACGUUCGCGCUAUACUUGGUUCUCAUAAGGUCAUUGGUAAAAGAUUGGUUGUUAAACAGAUGGUUAGAGAUCACAGUUUUCUAAAUCCAAAUAUUAAACAAGAAUUCACUGAUAUGCAUCCAGAUUAUAAUAAUCGUAGUGGCUACCAAAGCAUUGAAGUUAAAGGCUUAAUCGAGACAAGUAGAUGUAUAGGAUAUGCGUAUAUGAAAAAUGCAUAGUUCACCAAAAAGGGAUUAUUCGAAAUCCCAUUGUCUGAAGUAGUGACUCCAACUUUUACAAGACCUUUGCUAUCAUCACAGCCAGAUGUUUCUUCAAGAGUCUUAAGAGACACUAAUAGAUUCAUUAUAUGUGGAUCUGGUGGAUUUUAGAAAUUGAUUUCAAAUGAGAAGGCUGCUAGAGUUGUUAACACCAGUCCACGAGAUAGAAUCGCUGAAAGACUUGCGAAGCUUGCUCUAGAGAAGGGGGCUGCAAAAAGGGGGAAAAAAUAUCGUGACCUUAUAGAUAUUCAUAAGAGUAAUUGUAUUAGUGAACAAUGGAAAUCAAAAUUAUGGAUUUAGAUCGGCUUAUCAUGAUGAUAUAACUGUGAUUGUUGUCUAUUUGGACCAAAGGCCAAAUAGGGAGGGUGUGACGCCAGAGAUCAACUCCUAUACAGGCUACAAUUACGCAGUUCGACAAUCAGAGUUUACAGAUUUCUAUAAUACUCCCUCCGGUCCUUAAUAUAAGAAAAAUUUGACUUUCUAGAUUCAUUGAGAAUCUAAUGUAUGUAGUCCAUAUUAUUGACUCUAUACAUUGAAUUUGCAAUGAAUCUAAAAAGCAAAGUGUCUCUUAUAUUAAGGACCGGAGGGAGUAAUGCUAAUGCGUGAGACAUGUAUAGCUAGGAAAUAGGAUUCUAUAGUUUUUCAUUUACUCAGUUCUGUUGUGUCACAGUGAUUAUCUCUGUGCCUUAAUUUUCCAAAUGGAAGUACAAAAUGAAGCAAGUACAAUCUCAUUCAAUCAUAGUUAAUUUCCUCUUGA